rnacentral:lncRNA from 1 species
AAGCACAUUUACAUUGUCGUACACCCAAUCACCACCACCAAUCCCGCAGAACUCCUUUCAUCUUGCAAAACUGAAACUCUGUUAACGCCCAGGCUGCAGUGCAGUGGCAUAAUCUUGGCUCACUGCAACCACUGCCUCCUGGGUUCAAGCUAUUCUCAUGCUUCAGCCUCCCGAGUAGUUGGGAUUACAGGCAUCUGCAACCACACCUGGCUAAUUUUGUAUUCUUAGUAGAAACCGGGUUUCACUAUGUUGGCCAGGCUGGUCUUGAACUCCUGACCUCAAGUGAUCUGCCUGCCUUGGUCUCCAAAACUGCUGGGAUGACAGACGUGAGCCACUCCACCCAGC